ACGCUGGGCAUGGCCUCUCAGGACAGCACUUAAGGCCCUGAUUUCCUGACUUGACUCCCACUCAGCCGGACACAGAGCUUGGGUUUAAGGAACGCCUUCACGAAGCCCACCCCUUCCUUUCCUGAUAACCAAGAGGAGCUAAGUCGUGUGGCUGGUGGUUUUGAUGGAGAGCAUUCUAGCAAACACUUUGGGAAGCACCGAGAUGGUGAGCACGUACGUUCCUGGGCACGGUGGCUAGGGUGGGUCUCUGUCAUCCCGUUCUGUAGACAUUUAUUAGGCAGCAGCAUAUCCUGGGCACAGGAGACGCACUAAUGACAUACCCAGUCCUUAACCUCUAGGCAGCUGCAGGCUGGUGCAGAGACGUGGCAAACGAGACGGACAGCUCCCAUUACUUGGGAUCUCCUCUAGGUCAGGGGCUGUGGCAGCGUGGUUCCAAUCCUACUCUGCCAGCCUGCGAGGUAGGUUUUGUGAGCUUCUUUCCACUGAUGAGGC
rnacentral:lncRNA from 1 species